rnacentral:misc_RNA from 1 species
UGUGGGAGCGGGCUUGCUCGCGAUAGCUUCGGCGCGGUUCUACUGAACAACCGCGUCGUUUGCAUCGCGGGCAAGCCCGCUCCCACA